rnacentral:sRNA from 1 species
AGCGGGAGGGGCCGUGCGCGCUCCUGCCUCAGGCCUCUGUCCUCCACCCCCUUUCCCCGGUCCCAGGCUCUCCUUCGGAAAGAUGUCGGACACGGCAGUAGCUGAUACUCGGCGCCUUAACUCGAAGCCGCAGGACCUGACCGACGCUUACGGGCCGCCAAGUAACUUCCUGGAGAUCGACAUCUUUAAUCCUCAGACGGUGGGCGUGGGACGCGCGCGCUUCACCACCUAUGAGGUUCGCAUGCGGACAAACCUACCUAUCUUCAAGCUAAAGGAGUCCUGCGUACGGCGGCGCUACAGUGACUUUGAGUGGCUGAAAAAUGAGCUGGAGAGAGAUAGCAAGAAUUGCUGGGCACCCACUGGCUCAGAAUGAACGCUGCCUACACAUGUUUCUGCAAGAGGAGGCAAUUGACAGGAACUACGUCCCGGGGAAGGUGCGCCAGUAGGAGCCCCUCUCACCACCUGCCCUCUACUUUCCUGCUGAAAUGACAUUGGUUUUUACACUAAGCCUCUCUCUGUCUUUGAUCUGAAGUUGGCUGCCCAUCUCCUGGCCUGAUAGACUGUCUGGCAUUGUGCUCCCUGGUACCUGACUACACCAUGUGGGCACUCUGCUAGGAUCCUCUUCUCUGAGGAGAGGUGGGAACCCACAGGCAGAUGCCCUUUGCUUGGGGUUGGGGUGGGUGGGGGGAUUAGACUGGAAGGCAAUUUCUUGGGCAUUUACCCAUGCCAGAAGGCUAACCUGGGGGGAGGGGGGCGCUUGUGCUGGUGAGGCACUUGGAUACAUAUUGAUGCUGCAAGUUCAGGGGAUUUUUCUUACUCUUAGGUUUAACCAAGAACACUGAGCAGGGAAAAACCCUGCCUUUCCUAACUGCAUGUAUUUUUUCCUUUUUGGAAAGGUGGUAGAGACUCAGAAGCUUUCCUUGUUUUCUCUAGGCCUGCUCC